CAGACAGCUUAUUGGACGGACAGGGGAUGCGUUCCACAGAGCAGCGCGUGCGUUCCGGAAGUGGAUUUAGAGCGCUGAGAGUUUACAGCGAAUCAGAGGCGGUGCCGGGGGAGCCGGGGAUUUCCACACUCGUUUGUUUCACACGUUGAUGUUUCCGUGUGUAAAUAAUGGGAAUAGCGGCACCAAGUGCAGCAGAAAGUCACUGCGAGUUCGGCCCAAAGCGAGUUGUGUUGUGUAUCACCCAGGAGAAGAUGGAGGAGUGUUGGGGGGCCACUGAGCAGCACAUGUUGGAAGAUAUUUAGUGGAGACGGGGGAGAGGUGAAUACACACGACCCUCACAGCACCAGUUUGGAAGCUGGUGCGUGGGGUGAGUGUGACGGAGCGUACCAAUAAGUACAGGAGGGGACAUCAGAGGGAAGCCAUGGUCUGGCAGCAGCUCCCGGGAGAAUGAAGCGGAGCAGCAGGACGAGGAUAAAACGAGUAACACAGUCACUGUUAUUGCACAAAAAGGGCCUCAGACAACACAGGAAGUGCACAGUGGUCUCCGCCCCAUCCUCAAGCUCCUCCCACAUUUACUUUCCUAAAUACAGGAGUUUGGGAAGUGACACAGGCCCUGCCACUUGGGGGGAUCCCAUUCCCUCUGAUCUAUAUAUGAGCUGGGGGGAUUCUUCCGUUUCUUCUCCUGCCCCUCCCCCAUUGUACACUCCCCUCUCAGUCUCCCUCUAUUUAAAGGGCAACUUGUCUCAGUAAGACACUCCUGUAGGAACUUCUAGGGGAUCAUUUUGGCCCCAGGCUUAUGGGAAUUGGGGUACAAAGCGCAACACUGAGUUACAUUGUUACAAGUUUUCCCAUUGGCCAAACAUUCAUUUUGGUUUAUGUUUUGGGAAAGUAAAAAUGGGCAGUGCCUUUGGGGGUGUUAUUUGGGAAGGUGGUUGGAUGAGAGACCAUUAAAUUGGGCUCAUCUGAUGCCCCUUCAGAGCCACUGGAAAUGGAGGCCAAUGUUUGUCCUGUUGGCUUUUCUAUUGGCCUGAGUGUGACUGAGCCCUAAUUGCAGCUCUUGCGCCCCUUCAUUUGGUGCCAUGCGCAGGGGGGAUGAGCUUUAUAACUGACCAGAAUUCCAUAGCCCCCCCAUAUACAUGAGUCUGGGACAGAGGGUUGAUAUGAAGGAGGGGGCAGGUAGGUCAUUACUGUAAGUGGCUGCUGAGGUGACGCACAGGGUGCCCAGAGUUCUGUAUUACAGACACACUCCUCUUAUUCCUCCCACAGUGUGAGUGGGGGCUGGGCAGCAGUGACAAUAUUGCCCCCGGAAAAAAGGAUCUGGGGGGGGACCCUCUAUUUAUGAGAAAAGACCCAGAGAAUUGUGCCCAACCCUCCUCAUAGCAGCCGAGUGCCCUUUCCAAUGGAGUCACAGCUUUUUCAUGGGGCUGUCCCCCAUCAUUAUCUCCCCCCAUUAAACUGCACCCCCUCAUCCUGCCAGUAUGUACCCCCAGGAUGCCUUUACUUUGGGCUUUGUGGGAUUUCUGAGGGAGGGGUGUCAGGUGAUUAGGGAUCCGGCGCAUUAAGGGUGGAAUUUAGGAGAAGCCCAUAUUUAUGGGGGGGACAUUUACUUUCAGGCUAAAGUGCACUAAGAGUAACCCAAAGACUCCAGGGUUUUGAUUGGCCUAGGAAUGUUCUGUUCAUGGAAUGAGAUUUCUGAUUGGUUGCUGCACCUAGUACUACUGAGUAUCACUAUAUGUCUCUCUGCUGAGUCAUAACAAACCUUGUCCCGUGUGUGUGCGCAGGGAAUGGCCGGGGUCAAGAUGAAAUGCAUUGUGGGAAAUGUGUGUAUGGCUGAUAGAGCUGAGGAUUGGGAAGGGGCGCGGGGGGUGGGGCCUGUCCUUUAUACGGAGCCAUUGCUGGACUGUGCACUGGAUAUUGACCCCCCUCCCCAGAGACUCCCAUUGGUAUUUCCUUAAUGCUGAAUGGUUUGUCUGUUAUCCAAUAGGAAUGAACUCAUUGCAGAUACAGCGUCCGUGAGCUCCGAUUGGUUCUCAUGGAAUUGUUCCCAUUUGUAACAUUUUCCACCAACUAAAGAAUAAAAAAUCCUAUUUAUCUUUA